rnacentral:rRNA from 1 species
UACGUAUGGGGCGAGCGUUACCCGGCUUCACUGGGCGUAAAGGGCGCGUAGGCGGUCUGUCGCGUCUGCUGUGAAAACUCGGGGCUUAACCCCGGGCCUGCAGUGGGUACGGGCAGACUAGAGUGCGGUAGGGGAGACUGGAAUUCCUGGUGUAGCGGUGAAAUGCGCAGAUAUCAGGAGGAACACCGGUGGCGAAGGCGGGUCUCUGGGCCGUAACUGACGCUGAGGAGCGAAAGCGUGGGGAGCGAACAGG